AUUGAACGCUGGCGGCAGGCCUAACACAUGCAAGUCGAGCGAGAGUCGGACGGGUGAGUAAAGUAUGGGGACUGCCCCAUAGAGGGGGAUAACUACUGGAGAAGGUAGCUAAUACCGCAUCGCAUCGGAGAACCCCUAUGGGAUUAGCUGGUGGGUGAGUUAAUGGCUCACCUAGGCGACGAUCCCUAGCUGGUCUGAGAGGAUGAUCAGCAAAACUGGGACUGAGACACGGCCCAGACUCCUACGGAGGCAGCAGUGGGGAAUAUUGCACAAUGGGCGCAAGCCUGAUGCAGCCAUGCCGCGUGUAUGAAGAAGGCCCUAGGGUUGUAAAGUACUUUCAGUCGGGAGGCGUUACCGACAGAAGAAGCACCGGCUAACUCCGUGCCAGCCGCCGCGGUAAUUC
rnacentral:rRNA from 1 species